CAAUGCUGCUACACACUCAUGUCCAGCAGGUGGUAAUAUGCACCUUGAAGUUACUUGCGACCCGCAAAUAAUAGAGAAAAGGAGAAGAAAGAGUGAGAGAUUCAACCAGGCCCGUUUUCGCUGAUGGAAAACAUUUGGACUACUUUUUUUUUUUUUUUUUACCGAAGGUCCUGGAAAACCGAGCUUGAAAUGAGCUUCACCAUGUUCAAGGUUCGCAAACUGAAGAUUGAGUAGCUACUUCAGGAGCACCGAAUAUGGAUCAUGGAGCCGAGCUGAGCUACAGCUGAGUCAAGACACUUGGUAAUCCUGUGACGAUAUGUGUGUGAAAGUUUGGUAUUCCGUACAAAAUCUGAGUGAUCCUAAGAUCCUAAAAGUUGGUCGAGCUGCAUUGCUGUUGGAGCCACUUCAGGAAUUUGACAUGGCGAGUUGCCUUUAUUUGACAGUCAAUUUGACAGGAACGGGGGAAGACAUGCAGCAAAGGUCGCCAAGGUCGGGAAUCGAACCUGCAAAAGCCGCGUUGAGGACCAAGGUCUCCACACGUGGGUUGUGCCCAACCCCUGCACCACCACAGCAC